AAGCAAGAAGAGAUCCCGGAGUUGCGAGUGCUCACAUGAUUAUCGUGUGUGUUAGUUUGUUUAUUUCGUGAAUCCGAGGGAAAAACAAACCGAGAGAAAGGGGCGCCCAAGGCCGCGCGUGUACUGCCUUUUCUUUGUUGCUGUCUGCAGUGUACUCGAGCCACCUUCGGUGUCCCUCCUGUCUCUCCUCUCUCUGUCUCACACACCUUUUCUGUCUUGUGUUCUUCUGUUUCUGUUCUGUUUGGGUGUUUUUUUAUUGCUUCCCCUUGAGCUGCGCUGACUUGCGAAUGACUCGUGCGUCUGUGCUCUUUCUCUCUCCUCUCGCUCCUCUCUGUGCGCGUGUGCGGCUGCCGGGCCUCUGUGUCUCCUCUCCUCUGUCUGCUCCGGUCUAGUGGUACAGGCGCCUCGUCGUGCCCAGCUCUGUGGCUCCUUCGCUUGUUGGUUGGCCGGACUCAUUCGUGUUCGUUGUUGUUCCCCUUCGCACCGACUCGCGCCUUUUCCUUUGUGCUUUUUGGAUUGUCAGCUCUCUAUUUUUUUUUUCGUUGUGGUUGUUCUUUGGCAAGCGCCUCUGCGGCAGUCGUCCUCCAGGCCCCCGCUCGUUCGUUUCUCCCCCGUGCUUCAUCUCCACGUUUUUUUUUGUUCACGGUCGCUUCGUUGAGCAUCGUCGCGGGAGUGUGUUCCUCCACCCUCCCCCUCCCCCUGUUUUUCCGUCCCUCUUUGUCUUGCAACCCGCACAGGCGCGGAAGAAAGAGUAGUAGCGAAGAUGAUCUUCGGUUCAGCGCUGGUGCUCGUGGUGGCGGCCCUCAACAGCUCCGCCAACCGCUAUCUUCCUGCCAAGUUGAAGUUGCUCGCGCCCUCAGUAGGGUGGUUCAUCAUGAAUCUGUUCAUUGCCCGGGGCCCUCUCGUGUGGUAUGUGUGCUCGUUGGCGAUUCAAGGACUGUUUGCCACGCUGCUCUUCAUGACUAUCGGUUUCAAGAGCGACCUUGUCUCGCGCGUCGUCAUCCUUCCGUUUCUGUCCACCGCGAUGGCGGCCUGGAUGAAGGAGGUUCUGCCCUCGGUUGGGGUGUGGACUACUGUCGCGGUCACCUUCAUGCAGCUCUGGAGCAUCCUCGGGGGCAUCAUAAUCCUCGCCUGCUAUCCGGCCAACAUUCUACAGGUCCUUGAGCAGCAGGAUGCGCGCAACCGCCGCGUCCGUGCGGUUGCUCGCACGCUGGUUCGAAAGAAAGACAAGUCUGUCGAUGUGUGCAUGGUGCCAUCGCUGGAUGGAAAGACCGAGCUGCAGACGCUUGUGGUAAAGCAGGCGUAUGAGACGUCGCGCUGGAUCGUGUACUGCGGCGGCAACGCGGAGUUCCUGGAGAACAGCCUCAACGACAUCCACGUCAUCAGCGACGCUCUCAAGGCACACGCCAUCCUGUAUAACCCACGCGGCAUCGGCUUCAGCACCGGUUAUCUCUCGCAGCUCGGCGAAUUGGUCGAGGACGUUGCCGCAGUGGCGCGAGCGUACAUUGAGAAGGAGAGGAUCGACGAGAACAACUUGCUUUUCUUUGGCCACAGCAUCGGCGGCGGUACUGCGGCGCAGGUGGUGGCGGAAUGCUACCCGCAUGCGUCCCUCGUGCUGGAUCGUACCUUCUCGUCCAUGUCGGACGCAGCUGUAGCCUUUUCCUAUCUCACCCCCAAGGUCACACGCAAGGUCUUUCCCUGGUUUGUCGGCGACCUUCACACUCUGGCCGGCUGGGACAAUAUCAGGCACAACCGUAAGCUCGUCCUCUACUCGAAGCAGGAUGAGGUGAUCAAGUUCGACAUCUCCUCCAUUGCUCGCCUCCCGCAGUUUCAGAAGGAUGGCGCGGACGCCGACAAGGCUGUUGAGCUUUUUGGCGCCCCGCCGUCCUACCACAACAGCCUCUUGAGCGCCUUUGACAACUACGAGGAGGUAUGCGUCCGCAUGAGUAAGAUGUUCACCGUGUAAGCCGGCAGCACCUAGUGCUUGGAAAGGAAGCCUCUCGCAGACCCCUGGCAUGAGCCUGGGAAGGUGAGAGGAUAACUGACGGAUGAGUGGGCUUAGUGCUGUGUGUGUGUAUGUAGUUUGUGUUCGUGUCGGAGGAGGCCACCGGUUGUGGUGGUGUUAUCCCGGCCCUUUUUGCUGUUGUUCUUUUCCGUACGAAGCCCCUCCCCCCUCCUCCUCUCUCCACAUACACUUCACUUGUGCGGGGGCCGAUCGUCAUUUCACACGCCGUGACCUCGACCGUUUUUCUACCUCUGUUUGUGUUGGGCGGUUUUGUCCCACUUCUCCUUUGCCUUUUUGAUAUCUGUGCCUUCAUCUGGUUCUCGUGCUCCUUGUCCUUGAGCUUAUUCGUUGUCACCCCAGUGAAGUGUUUUCUGUCUUGUUCUUGCUGCUGCGCACUUGACCUUCGGGUACGUUUGCUGCUUUCUUCUGUGCCCCUUUCUGAUUUAUGCCAUGUACGAGGGACGUGCGCGCUCACCUUUGUUGGGCUAUGUCUCUCACUCUCUCGGCGCGCCGGUGUGUCCGUGUCUCUCCUUGUCUGUGGCUUUUGUGCCAUGGGCUAAGGCUCUUAGUGUGUGUGUGGGGGGGGGAGGGGCGGAGUGUUGCGUACAAGGUGAUGGUUGGUGAGAGGCCGAGGCGAGCAAACGAAGAGCACCUCUUCGAACGGCCACGAGAGCAGAUUUGCGGUGCCACUCGGAUGUACAUGCGGCUAGCUCGAUAGCCUCGGCAAUGCGGCAGUGUUUUCCCUCUAUCCCUGAAGAAGCGCUUGUGAAGCGCGGCUUCUCGGUUUUUUCCUGAGCAGCCAAUGACCCACAUGCCAUGCGCACGGCCCCCUCUUGACAGACCAAUGCACGAG
rnacentral:misc_RNA from 1 species